rnacentral:rRNA from 1 species
GAUGAACGCUAGCGGCAGGCUUAACACAUGCAAGUCGAGCGGAGAUGAGGUGCUUGCACCUUAUCUUAGCGGCGGACGGGUGAGUAAUGCUUAGGAAUCUGCCUAUUAGUGGGGGACAACAUUCCGAAAGGAAUGCUAAUACCGCAUACGCCCUACGGGCGAAAGCAGGGGAUCUUCGCACCUGGCGCUAAUGGCUGAGCAUAAGUCGGAUGAGCUAGUUGGUGGGGUAAAGGCCUACCAAGGCGACGAUCUGUAGCGGGUCUGAGAGGGUGGUCCGCCACACUGGGACGGAGACACGGCCCAGACUCCUACGGGAGGCAGCAGUGGGGAAUAUUGGACAAUGGGGGGAACCCUGAUCCAGCCAUGCCGCGUGUGUGAAGAAGGCCUUAUGGUUGUAAAGCACUUCAAGCGAGGAGGAGGCUACUGAGACUAAUACUCUUGGAUAGUGGACGUUACUCGCAGAAUAAGCACCGGCUAACUCUGUGCCAGCAGCCGCAGUAACAC